UCAUUUCAAUCUUUUCAAAAA
rnacentral:piRNA from 1 species